AGAGUUUGAUCCUGGCUCAGGAUGAACGCUGGCGGCGUGCUUAACACAUGCAAGUCGAACGAUCCUUCGGGAUAGUGGCGGACGGGUGAGUAACGCGUGGGAAUCUGCCCUCAGGAGGGGGAUAACGGCUGGAAACGGCCGCUAAUACCCCAUAUGCCGAGAGGUGAAAUGAAUUUCGCCUGAGGAUGAGCCCGCGUCUGAUUAGCUAGUUGGUGGGGUAAAGGCCUACCAAGGCAACGAUCAGUAGCUGGUCUGAGAGGAUGAUCAGCCACACUGGGACUGAGACACGGCCCAGACUCCUACGGGAGGCAGCAGUGGGGAAUUUUCCGCAAUGGGCGAAAGCCUGACGGAGCAACGCCGCGUGAGGGAUGAAGGCCUCUGGGCUGUAAACCUCUUUUCUCAAGGAAGAAGACCUGACGGUACUUGAGGAAUAAGCCACGGCUAAUUCCGUGCCAGCAGCCGCGGUAAUACGGGAGUGGCAAGCGUUAUCCGGAAUUAUUGGGCGUAAAGCGUCCGCAGGCGGCCUUGUAAGUCUGUUGUUAAAGCGUGGAGCUCAACUCCAUUUAAGCAAUGGAAACUACAAGGCUGGAGUGUGGUAGGGGCAGAGGGAAUUCCCGGUGUAGCGGUGAAAUGCGUAGAUAUCGGGAAGAACACCAGUGGCGAAGGCGCUCUGCUGGGCCAUAACUGACGCUCAUGGACGAAAGCCAGGGGAGCGAAAGGGAUUAGAUACCCCUGUAGUCCUGGCCGUAAACGAUGAACACUAGGUGUCGGGGGAAUCGACCCCCUCGGUGUCGUAGCCAACGCGUUAAGUGUUCCGCCUGGGGAGUACGCACGCAAGUGUGAGACUCAAAGGAAUUGACGGGGGCCCGCACAAGCGGUGGAGUAUGUGGUUUAAUUCGAUGCAACGCGAAGAACCUUACCAGGGUUUGACAUCCUGCGAACCCCUGAGAAAUCGGGGGGUGCCUUCGGGAGCGCAGAGACAGGUGGUGCAUGGCUGUCGUCAGCUCGUGUCGUGAGAUGUUGGGUUAAGUCCCGCAACGAGCGCAACCCACGUCUUUAGUUGCCAGCAUUCAGUUGGGCACUCUAGAGAGACCGCCGGUGAUAAACCGGAGGAAGGUGUGGAUGACGUCAAGUCAUCAUGCCCCUUACAUCCUGGGCUACACACGUACUACAAUGCUACGGACAAAGGGCAGCAAGCUCGCGAGAGUUAGCAAAUCCCAUAAACCGUGGCUCAGUUCAGAUCGUAGGCUGCAACUCGCCUACGUGAAGGAGGAAUCGCUAGUAAUCGCAGGUCAGCAUACUGCGGUGAAUACGUUCCCGGGCCUUGUACACACCGCCCGUCACACCAUGGAAGUUGGCCAUGCCCGAAGUCGUUACUCCAACCCUUGUGGAGGAGGACGCCGAAGGUGGGGCUGAUGACUGGGGUGAAGUCGUAACAAGGUA
rnacentral:rRNA from 1 species